rfam:Oryza brachyantha chromosome 12, whole genome shotgun sequence.
AAUAAGAUCAUUUUUCAGUUUUUCGAUACAAAGUUUUGACUAUUCGUCUUAUUUGAAAUUUUUUUAUGAUUAAUAUUUUUAUUAUUACUGGAUGAUGAAAUAUGAAAAAUACUUUAUACGUGACUAAUUUUUUAAAUUUUUGUAUAAAUUUUUCGAAUAAGACGAAUGAUCAAAGCAUUGGACACAGAAAUCAAAAAAUGAUGUUAUU